GAAAUGCGAUAAGUAAUGUGAAUUGUAGAAUUCAGUGAAUCAUCGAAUCUUUGAACGCACCUUGCGCUCCUUGGUAUUCCUUGGAGCAUGCCUGUUUGAGUAUCAUGAAAUCUUCAAAGUAAAUCUUUUGUUAACUCAAUUGGUUUCAACUUUGGUAUUGGAGGUCUUUGCAGCUUCACACCUGCUCCUCUUUGUUCAUUAGCUGGAUCUCAGUGUUAUGCUUGGUUCCACUCGGCGUGAUAAGUUAUCUAUCGCUGAGGACACUGUAAAAGGUGGCCAAGGUAAAUGCAGAUGAACCGCUUCUAAUAGUCCAUUGACUUGGACAAUACUUUUAUGAUCUGAUCUCAAAUCAGGUAGGACUACCCGCUGAACUUAAGC
rnacentral:misc_RNA from 1 species